AGCAGCCGCGGUAAUUCCAGCUCCAAUAGCGUAUAUUAAAGUUGUUGCAGUUAAGAAGCUCGUAGUUGAAUUUUAGGCCUGACCGGACGGUCCGUCUCUGGCGAGUACUGUUCUGCUGUCGGGUCUAUCCUUCUGGUGAGCCGGUAUGUCCUUUAUUGGGUGUGUCGGGGAACCAGGACCAUUACCUUGAAAAAAUUAGAGUGUUUAAAGCGGGCUUUUGCUUGAAUAGAUUAGCAUGGAAUAAUAGAAUAGGACGUUGGUUCUAUUUUGCUGGUCUAGGACCACCGUAAUGAUUAAUAGGGAUAGUUGGGGGCAUUAGUAUUCAAUUGUCAGAGGUGAAAUUCUUGGAUUUAUUGAAGACUAACUACUGCGAAAGCAUUUGCCAAGGAUGUUUUCAUUAAUCAAGAACGAAAGUUAGGGGAUCGAAGACGAUCAGAUACCGUCGUAGUCUUAACCAUAAACUAUGCCGACUAGGAAUCGGGCGACGUUAUUUCAUGACUCGCUCGGCGCCUUAUGGGAA
rnacentral:rRNA from 1 species